UUCUAUAUUUAGAAUUUUUCAUACAAAAAUUCCUUUAAGCAAACAGUGCAGACCCUGAUGAGACGCCACAUCAUGCGGCAUCUCAUCUGGGUCUACACUGUUUGCCAAGGCCUUUUUUCUAGACGCUAGUCAUAAAUUGUUUAAGGUACAGGCAUGCUUUGGACAUUUUAUACUGUUUGUCAGUGAGUGCUGAUUUUGUUGCUAAGAGUUAUGUGUGAUUCCACAUAAGGGACACAAUUAGCAAAUACACAUGUGAAAAAACGACAAUGGUGUACAAAAUUUAAAUUUAAUACUGUAAUAACAAUUGUGUACGACGUCAUCACUACAGCAUCUUAUUGAAGUAAGUUUAACUUAGGAUACAUGCAAAAAGAGACAGGUUUUAUGGUAAAAAUUUCACAUAAACUAAUCAUUUGAAAAAGGCGUGCUCUAUAGGGUACUCAUUCUUUUCAAUAAAAUUUAGUUUGACACGUGCAGUUGCACACUUUAAGAUUUUUGCUUAUGAUUAUUUAUAUGGAUAAUAAAUGAGGUUGGAUUAUUACAUAUUAUGGUUAAUAAACGGUAUAUGUUUGCAUGAAGGAAAGUACAA